GUUAAAUGUAAAUUAUAUAUAAUUUAAUCUGCAUUUUAAUAAAAAGGGAAUGGAGUGAAAUUCUUCAACUACCCCAGUAACCGUGAAACUGACGAAAUCUAAUGCACAUGAAAUAAUGUUAUUUUUUUGAUUGUGCCUAAUAUGCCACUGAGAAAUUGGGAAGGCUUGAAAGUAGGAUGAAGUUAAGUCGGGAUACCUUAUUUUUAUGCAAUACUAAU
rfam:Clostridium saccharobutylicum DSM 13864, complete genome.